UACGGGGGGAGCAAGCGUUGUUCGGAUUUACUGGGCGUAAAGGGCGCGUAGGCGGCACUGCAAGUCAGUUGUGAAAUCUCCGGGCUUAACCCGGAAAGGUCAACUGAUACUGCAGGGCUAGAGUGCAGAAGGGGCAACUGGAAUUCUCGGUGUAGCGGUGAAAUGCGUAGAUAUCGAGAGGAACACCUGCGGCGAAGGCGGGUUGCUGGGCUGACACUGACGCUGAGGCGCGAAAGCUAGGGGAGCAAACGGG
rnacentral:rRNA from 1 species